rnacentral:rRNA from 1 species
CAACUUUCAACAACGGAUCUCUUGGCUCUCGCAUCGAUGAAGAACGCAGCRAAAUGCGAUAAGUAAUGUGAAUUGCAGAAUUCAGUGAAUCAUCGAAUCUUUGAACGCACCUUGCGCUCCUUGGAAAUUCCGAGGAGCAUGCCUGUUUGAGUGUCAUGA